rnacentral:rRNA from 1 species
AUACGGAGGGUGCAAGCGUUGUUCGGAAUCAUUGGGCGUAAAGCGCGUGUAGGCGGCUUGGCAAGUCGGGCGUGAAAUCCCGGGGCUCAACCCCGGAACUGCACCCGAAACUGCUUGGCUAGAGUCCCGGAGAGGAAGGCGGAAUUCCCGGUGUAGAGGUGAAAUUCGUAGAUAUCGGGAGGAACACCAGCGGCGAAGGCGGCCUUCUGGACGGUGACUGACGCUGAGACGCGAAAGCGUGGGGAGCAAACAGGAUUAGAUACCCCGGUAGUCC